AGUGAACGCUGGCGGUAGGCCUAACACAUGCAAGUCGAACGGCAGCACAGUAAGAGCUUGCUCUUACGGGUGGCGAGUGGCGGACGGGUGAGGAAUACAUCGGAAUCUACUUUUUCGUGGGGGAUAACGUAGGGAAACUUACGCUAAUACCGCAUACGACCUACGGGUGAAAGCAGGGGAUCUUCGGACCUUGCGCGAUUGAAUGAGCCGAUGUCGGAUUAGCUAGUUGGCGGGGUAAAGGCCCACCAAGGCGACGAUCCGUAGCUGGUCUGAGAGGAUGAUCAGCCACACUGGAACUGGGACACGGUCCAGACUCCUACGGGAGGCAGCAGUGGGGAAUAUUGGACAAUGGGCGCAAGCCUGAUCCAGCCAUACCGCGUGGGUGAAGAAGGCCUUCGGGUUGUAAAGCCCUUCUGUUGGGAAAGAAAAGCAGCAGGUUAAUACCCCGCUGUUCUGACGGUACCCAAAGAAUAAGCACCGGCUAACUUCGUG
rnacentral:rRNA from 1 species